rnacentral:sRNA from 1 species
AAAUCUAGCAAGAAACUCUUGAAACCGGACUAUUAAAUUACUAGUUUUAUGUUUUAGUUUUUUUAUGUUGUUUAUUUAAAAUUUAGUAUUUGUUUGCUUAUUAAGUUUAUAAAACUAUGUGUUGUAAUUGUUGUUGUAAAAUGAUUAUAUGUAUUAAAUAAAAGAACUUAAAUUUGAAGGACUAAAGUAUAAAUAAAAAAAGUUGAACUCAAAAAUAGAUUUAACAAUAGAGCUGCUCUAUAUAUAGAGUCAAUCUGCAGAAAUCUGUAUUUUAGAGUAAAUUAUAGAGUAGGGUUGGAGAAGAAUUUUGCAUUUUUACUCUAAAAUAGAGUAGGGUUGGAGAUACCCUUAGUUUUUCAGAGGCAAAAAAAAAAGAAACACUUCUCUAACUUGUCUUCUUCUGCUGUUGGGGAAUCAAAUGGACUAUUCA